UGAGGUGGCCAAUGUCAGUCUGCUACAGCAGCACCACAUCAUCCAUCAUUGUGGGACAGUGGUGGGGUGACAACAUCCUGGUGUUCAGAGUGGAAUAGUGUGUACAUUUGCUGCUGAGUCGGGACAAUGAUGCUGAGGAUGUGGGGGACAAGCAUGACGCAGAAGGAGAUCACCAGCAUUGAUAUUGAGUUGGCCAAGCAACAGCACCAGUCUGGCCUGCAGAAACCCCAAUACAGAACGAUCCUUUCCCUCCCCUGAUCCCUAGCUCCUCCCACUGGACCUCAGGCCACAAAGGCAAACACUAUAAGCCGCCAAGAUAAAAACAUUGUUGAAGUGAAAGUUGAUGACAAUCCUGACCCCUUCGCUCAAUUCAGCACAAAAACGACUUGCGUCAGAGUAGCAAGCCGCCAAACAUCUUCUCCAAUGUUGGCUACUUCAACACUUCUUACAGCGUAGCCUUGGCGAGUUCGACUAUCAUCCAAUUGCUGAGCAACAAUUCAAUGCUGAGAAUCGACAAAUUGUUCCAGACGAGUCGCUUACACAGAAAAUAUCUGAUCCAACAGAUAGAGCAGGCGUUGCAUGACUUGUCCCUUAUUGCGACUGACCUAGAUAAGUUGCUCUCGAAUAAUGUGAACCUUAUGCCAGUAUGCGAUUGACACCAUUUAACAACAGUUGUUGUUGAGAAUUCCCGGGUUUGAGGUGGCAACUUUGGCGAUGGGACUCGCUCCAUCUCUGUCUAUGGCCCGGUCAAAGCAGCAGCAGCAGCAAUAAGAACAACAAGUAGUAUCUGAGCGGUUCUCUGGGAUAUGGGGCUUCAUGCAUGUGCUUAAAGUGUCAUCCCAGAAUAUCCUGUGCAGACUGCACAUACAUUAAGUCCUAUUAAAGUGUCAUCCCAGAUUAGCCUGUGCAGACUGCACAUACAUUAAGACCUAUUAAAGUGUCAUCUCAGAUUAGCUUGUGCAGACUGCACAUGCAUUAAGUCCUAUUAAAGUGUCAUCCCAGAUUAGCCUGUGCAGACUGCACAUACAUUAAGUCCUAUUAAAGUGUCAUCUCAGAUUAGCCUGUGCAGACUGCACAUACAUUAAGUCCUAUUAAAGUGUCAUCCCAGAUAAGCCUGUGCAGACUGCACAUACAUAAAGCCCUAUUAAAGUGUCAUCUCAGAUUAGCCUGUGCAGACUGCACAUACAUUAAGACCUAUUUUCAUAAAUGAGGCUCAUAUAGUUCAAUUAACAUCAGUCCUAUUUCAGGCUGAUUGAGGAAUAGCUUCUAACAUCAAUUGUGAAUUAUUCGUUUUUAAAUUGAUCAAACUUAGUAUUUAAAUAAUAAAUAAAAGUUGAUCUGAUAUCAGUUUUAGUCAUAGAAGGUAAGGGCGUAGUUUUAUCUAUUUUUUGGCCAAAAUUCAAACCCUGAACCAAAAGUUUCUCCUUGCAUAAUUAAAAUAUCUGCUUUAAUCGAAUUGUUGAAUUCUCUUAAAUUUUAGUAAAAAAAUAUUUAAAUGCCUUCAGCACAUUUAAACAUUAUUUUCUUCAUUUAUUUUCAAUAUUUAAUUAAAUUCCUGCAUUUUGUUUUAAGAACCUGUUCCUACAUGAACCUAUGCAAUCAUAGAUCGGUACCUAGCUGAACAACAUGCUCUCUGGUCAGCUGGGCCCAGACGCCCAGGGACACCUCCUUGCCCAGGACCUUGGGACAAAUGUUCAAAUAGUACUACCCGCAGAAUGCAGCCACUCUGAAUCCGGGGCUCCAUACUUUCUUGGCCAGGGGACAAGACUACCUCGUCAAUAAGAGGCCUUAUACUCACAAGUUCAAGCCCAGUGAGCGAUGUUCACAUUAUCAAACUCUGCAUCUCAAAAGAAACCUGGAUAGCAAAGCGUAGAGUUUGUUCUUGAAGCAUUUGCAACAGCAGCAGUCAUCAUCUUGAGAUUCUGGCAUCUCCAUUGUGAAGGACCCUCAGUCUGUGAUCAUGCAGAGCGAUCCUCAGAUGCCGUUUGACAAAAUCAAACCAUUCAAUCAGAAACACAGCCUGUUGCAGCAGUUGUUACCAUAUUGAUCCCAGUCAAACCUAAGAAGCUCAAAGAUGAAUACUGUUUUGGAUGUGCUAGUCUCUACAUACCUCCUGGUUUGUUCAGCACUUACGUUGACUCUUUGACCUUUGACUUUUAUGACGGGUGGACAUGAAUGACCUUGUUUAGAUCAAAAUGGCCGAAUGACACAUCACAAAAAUUCAAGUGGAAAGCCAGAAAGUCAUAUCAACAGCCACAUUUUGUAUGUGACCAGCCAAGUUGUAUUCAACGAAAAACAAUA